GUUGUGUUAUCAAUACGGACACAUUGGGUGCGACCAGAUAGAUAGGACCUAAUCCAGGCCAGAGUAUCUGUCGACAGUUUAAAAGUUGUUAUUUUGUAAGUAACGUGGGUUGGCUGACUGUAUCAAAUGCCUUCCGGAGGUCUAAGAAUAUUGCUCCAACUACACCUCCAUUGUCAAGGUUUUGUUUGAUUGUUUCUAAUAGAAGGCAAUAUGCAGUUUCGGUCAAGUGAUUUAACCGAAACCCAAAUUGCAUGGGAUGUAGGAGGUCUUCAUUGUCCAAAUGAUCUUGUGACUAGAUAUCAUCCUGUGGUGCAAAAUACAAGCGCAUCGCCUUGUGGUCUGACCUUCGACGUCCCUGAGGCAUCGUAACAGACCUUCUCCACCUCGUCCAGGAGGUCUUCUACUGAGAAACUACAUCUCAUCGGAGCCUCCUCUUCAUCAUCAUCGCUAGCAACCCUUUUAAGACACACACAACAACACUAAAUUGUCUCUUUUCCUUUGUCCUGUCAAAACAUGCAAUUUGUGGGAAUACCUUGCCAAAAUGGAGGUAAUUAUGUUCGAAAUUGUUAUCAAAUUGAAAAAGUGGAGGAUAGGGCUGGGCGAUAUAUUGAUAUACGAUACAUAUCGCGGGUUUGUCUCUGUGCGAUAUAGAAAAUGACUUUAUCGUAAUAUUUGAGUAGACGUUCUCACGCAGCUGUGGGUAUUACACUCUCCUCCUCUUUCCUGCCUCCUCACAGACAAGCAGGCACACAUUCAUACGUCACAUACGUACACGCCCUCGCCCAGCGGAGAAGUUGCGUCGUGGCUAACGUUAGCUGUGAUGCUAGCGGGUUGUUGCGGAGAAAGAAGGUUCGAAUCUCGUAACAAAUGAAGGAAGAAUUAAUUCCCAAGAAAAACAGCAGGGGGUCCAUCGUCUAGCGUGGUUCGGCUUCAAGCGGGAAUAUGUUGAAUAGACAACUUUAAUUUGUCAUGUGUGGGGCACAAGCGUUGCUACCAGAAGUAGCAUUACUGCUAAUAUGUAGCAUCAUUUGAAAAGUCACCUGCUAAUAACUUUAAUAAAUACAGUUUUGGUAAAUUGACUUAGUUGAGAUUUCCUUCUGUGCAUUUAAGUUUAAAAUUAGCAUAUAUUAGUGCGGUAUGAACAAGAAUGUUUUAAUGUAGACACAUAGAAUCAUCAUACUACUGUGAUUAUAUGUCACAAGUGUUCAUUCAAGGUUAAGGCAAAAUAUCGUAAUAUAGAUCGUAUAUCGCGAUAUGGCCUAAAAAUAUCGCGGUAUUAAAAAAUGGCAAUAUCGCCCAGCUCUAGUGGCGGAUUAAAUAAACUCUUAAUUUUCGGACAUGUUGUAAUGAGAAACUGGAAAUAUUAAAGUAAAAUUUAAAGUACCGAUGACUGUCACACACACAUUAGGUGUGGUGAAAUUAACCUCUCCAUUUGACCCAUAUCCUUGUUCACCCCAGGGAGAAGUGAACAGCAGCCGUGGCCGCGCUCAGGAAUCAUUUUGAUGAUUUAACACCCGAUUCCAACCCUUGAUGCUGAGUGCCAAGCAGGGAGGCGACGGGUCCCAUUUUCAUAGUCUUUGGUAUGACUUGGCCGGGGUUUGAACUCACAACAUACUGAUACACAAGGCCACUGACCAGGUCAUAUAAGAUAUGAUGUACCAUAUUAUAAUUGUUCGCAUAAUCAAAAUUAGUCAAUAUUUUAACCAUAAAAUAGCAUAUGUAAAAUGUUGAUUUCCUUACCAAUUGUCAUCAUUCUCCACGUCAUUGUGUAUCAUGUCGACUUGUGUUGUCCAUCUGAAAAUAAGUAACAUAAGACAAAUUGUCAUUUCAGAGACAUUUAUAUCACAAUAAACAAAUAAGAAGGGCACCCUUGACUUUA